UACGUUUACUAUUUAUUUUAUUCUAGGAAGUUAUUCAGAAAAAAUAUUUUAAUUUAUGAACCAAAUUUGCAAUAUAUUUUUUUUCCAUUUUGUUUUUUACAAACAUUACACUAUUCCACUUUUUAAUUUUUCAACAAAUAAACAUUUGAUUUUGUGCGCAGGAUGAAAGUAAAACAUACUUUAUUGCGCGGAAGGAUAUCAGCAGUGUUUAGGUCGUUAUAGAAAUUCUACUAUCAGAGCUGAAGAGUAAUUCUUACCACACUUAUUUCGGUAAGGUAAACUGGAAAUCUCUAAUUAAAAACUUCAUUCAUAAUGUCCAGUAACAAAAAUAAUUGGUUCUUUUCUUUUGAUGUUCUAUUAUUAUUUUUUGAUAUUUUGUUCUAAUUCAUCACGUUAUUUCAACUUUGUUUUGAUAAAUAUUAAUUUUCUUAGCAACAGAUAUUAAAUUUAGUCAUUACAACCAAUACUGUUGAACACAAAAUCUAUUCUUUUAUGUCUAUUAGAAUAUGUUUACCAUUUAUCAGUAUUAUUCUAUUAAUUCCAUAAUUCUUUAGUUGAAAUAUAAUCAGCAUUCCAUAUUUGAUAUCAUGUUUACAAUGACACCUAACAAAUGUCACCCUUCACGCACGUUGAUUCUUCAAAUAUUUGACAUUAAAAUUACAAAUGAGGUCAGUUUACGAUCUGUUUUCGAUUUUAGUUUGUGCUGAUUACUGCUGUCAUUUUAUCUGAAUCUCUUUGAGCUUUAUUUUAUACCCAUACACGCAAACUUAAAAGCAGUGUCGUUAGAAAUGGAGUGGUACGGAAAGAAUUGUAACGAAUAUUAAAGUUGUACUAAAUUCAUUCUUCGUCUUAUAUAUAUAUAUAUAUAUAUAUAUAUAUAUAUAUAUAUAUAUAUAUAUACACACAUAGACUAUACACAUACACAAAAUAGCAGAGAUACCCGGCGUUGCUUGGAUUAAGGUGGUGUGUAUUACAGUUAUGUUGAAACAGGUGAUACGAGAAAGUGCAGCAUUAACGACAAAACAAAUGGUCUAAUUCGACUAAGCUACAUGUAAUACGUCCAUUUGGAGGAUUCCAGACCCCAGCCGAUCAUGGAAAAGUGGGUGUAUGUAAUUUUUGAACCCAGCAAAAAGCUGAUUCUUUCACCCGCACGAUUUUCACUGAGAAAAAAAAAACUCGGAUUUUUUUAGUGGAAUCAAGUAUUCUGACAUCCUAAUAUGCUGCAAACUCAUUUUUGUUCGGAAAAGGUGGGGACCCCCUAUCCCAGAAUCUUUGGAAUAUUUUUUUCUGUUGAAUGAAUUUCAGUUACCUCCUAAUAUGCUACAAAACCCUUUUUGGGAUCCGGAAAACGGGGUAGGGAGAGGUGGAAGCCUCGGAAAUUUCAACCCACCCCACUACCAUUGAUCUUUUCACCCGCACGAUUUUCAAUAAGAAAAAAGAAACUCAAAAUUUUUGCAUGGAAUCAAGUAUCCUAACCUCCUAAUAUGCAGCAAACUCCUUAUUUUUGUUAGGAAAAAAGGGGGGAAGCUGAACCAUCACCCCCCCCCCCCAAUAUCCCAGAAUCGUUGGGGAUUUUUUUUUUUCCAUUGAAUGAAUUAUAGUGACGCCUAAUAUACUACAAAACCCUUCUUUGGGUCCAGAAAACGGGGUGGAGCCCUCAGCAAUUUCACCCCACCCCCAUUUUCAAAUAUUUUUUGCUAUUUCUUUCUUUACUCAUAAUUUUAGAUAACAUUUUGCAGAAAUACGUUUUCGAGAGAGUGUGGAAACAUUAGAUUGAAAAUUCAAAGAAGUUUGAAAUAAAUAAGUGAAAAUGCAGAGGUUAUAGAUGUUAGAGUGGUACCAAAGUCAGUGGAGAGAUAACGAAUGAUAAAUAAAUUUUGAAAAAAAAUUUUCCUCUAUUCAACUUCAUAAAAAUUUCCUCCAGAUUUGGUAACAGGUAAUUAUAUGGCAUCAAACAUUCGUUUAAUCUCAUUGAAAAAACAGCACAUACCUGGAUUUUAUUUUUUUCAGUCUUUUUCUUCAAUUUUAUCCACAUCAUGUCUUAAAUUUAUAAUCCUAUGGCAUUCUUCAGCCACUGCCUGUAGAGUUAAUUUUUGGUCCUGUUCUUUUCUUGCAGUUAACCCUUGAACAAAAAUUAAACAUUUGAACAAAUCAGGGGUUAAUUCAUUUAAUUUGAAUUUUUCACACUCUCUUUAACUAUAGGUAACAAAAUUUUCAUCAUUUUUAACUAAAUUUAAACACUACCAAUGAGUAUUGAACAGGGAACUUCUUUCACUGAAAAUUCUCGAUAAAUUGUUUCAUCAAGACAAAUCUCAUCUGGCUUCUUUAGCAGAAUAUAAUUACAAUAUUUUUCAUGUUUAGCAGGGGACAACUUUCUUAAAAACAAUCGCACCUUCUUCUCAUCAUUCCAAUGUUUAUAUUUUUCUUUGAAGAUUUCUUCGUAUCUUCUAAAAUAUGCAGAAAAAGUAGUACCUUCUUCUGAGAUAUAAAUAAAUUCUCCAAUUGAGAUUGCUACGCCAUCUGACGAGAACGAACCUGAAGUAUUUUCAGGCUUCUUCAACAUUACUUCCAGUAACUGUUGGUAUUGUUGUUGUUGUAGUUGUUGUUAUAACUGCUGUUACUAUUGCAACUUUUUGAAAACUUUGUAUAGGCCUCUGAGCAGGUAUUGCCAAGCUUUUGGCAAAAUUUGAUGCAGAUUCUCUGCUCAACUUUCUCUGUAAUGGUCAAUGCGAUGAUCACACGCUACACACCUUCCUGCCAAGCACUGUGGUAAAUGUCGUGAGUGAACAGAAGUGGCUAGGGGCCAGAAGGGAAGGAGAAAGAGUUAAACAGAUAGAGAGCAUGAUUGGUGUUAUGAAUGUGUGAGGGGAGGGAAGCCACUAGAGGGGCAAGGAUAUGGUUGAGGUACUUGGAGAUCAUUUUGGUGGGGCAGUUGCAGGUGGAGACAAUGGAGCAACCAGUGUUGUUGGGCUUGUGGAUUUUGGGAAGGAAGUAAAUAGCGGGGGGGGAAUAUGGACAGUGAGGUUGAAAGUGAUGGAAGGAAGAUGGGAGAAGGAAAUGAGGCCAUGAAUGGUGGAGGACAGUUUGUUGGUAGUUAGGCAUGGGGGUAGAGGGCAAUAGAAGGAGGUGUCUUGAAGUUGACGGGAGAGCUUCAGCCCUGUAGAGGUCUGCACGCCACACCACUACAACUCCACUCUUGUCAGCUGGUUUGAUGAUAAAAUCUUUGUGGCAUCAGAGACAUUAAAGGGCUGAGAGUUGAAAUAUCGAGGAUGCCUGUGAAAGUUGAAUCAGUCCACAACACGUUGACAGAUGCUUGCAAAUUGAUCAACUGCUUGAAACUGGCCAAAAGUGGGCAUCCAGUAGGAUGGUCGACAGCCCAGGCCAGUGAAGCAGUCUUCUACAUUUAAUGUGGGUGGAGUGUUGUGGAAUAGUGGGUGUCGCCUGAUGUGGUGCACAAAGUAUUGGAUAUCAGCACAGGUCUGAAACUUGUUACUCAAUGGAGUGAGAGGGAUGAAGCACAGACCCUUACUAAGAAGCGAGCACUCAACUUCAGAGAGGGUUAGAUCAGGAGGAAUGGUAACAACAGACUAAAGGGGUAGUUAGGUGGGGGGGGGAUGCAGUGGAAGGCAGAGAAGAAUGUGGCGUGUGGGAGGGUUGAAACAAUGGAAGGGUGAGAGUGAGGAUGAGGGGAGUGAAUCAUGGAGGGAGGAGUGUAGUGGAAUCAGGUGGGACAGGAUGAAAGUGGGUGGGGUUUAUGUUGUUUAGUGCAAGCAAGAAAGUCAUUGAGAAGAUGGUUUAGGUGGAGGAUAAAGAAUAUAGUGGAAUGUGCAAUGGAUGGUAAGCAGCAAGAAAAGAAGGUGGAAUAAGUGAGAGGGAGAAGGCAGUCAAGGGUAUACAUUGUGGAGAGAUUAAGGUGCAGAUUAUGGGUAAGAUGGCAGAAGCAGAAUGGAAGGUAGGGUGGAAAUGGAGGAAGAUGAGGUGGUGAUGAAGGCGUGUUUUUUUUUUUUAAAUAAGUAGAGAACGAUUAAUAGAAGGUUGAAAGCAGUAGAAAAGAAGCAUGGUAAGGUGUUUUUUGAGGCAAUGGUGAAGGUGGAGGAGGAAGGAUUUAUAAUUAGGCAUGCCAGAAAAUGGAGAAAAAAAUGUUAGAAUGGAGAGAGAAUGGCAAAAUUAUUAACAUACAGAGUUUAAGAGUUUGGUAAGUUCAAAAGUUGUGAUAGAUUAGUGUGAGUUACAUCAACGAAAAUAGCCAGUAAGAUACAUGGAGAUAGAGUCUGAAAGAGUCCAAAGAUCCAGUGGUAAUCUGGGUGAAGUGUUGGUUAUGUGGAUGAGGAGAGGUACUGAAAGUUCAGGAAGUUAAGUUAAGUUAAUUUUUCGGCUCAAAAAGCAAGGCCAUGUAGGGGGACAUGGAGUUAUGUACAGGGAGGGUAUUCAUGCAAAGAGUUCAGGCCAUUUCUGGUCAAGAGAGACUUUGAACCGAGUGGUCAUUGGUAUCUUCACUAUCUUGUCCGGCAGCUUAUUCCACGGAUCCGCAACCCGGACGGAGAAAGCCCCUCUCCUUCGAUUGAGAUGAAAUCAUCGCAGAUAGAGCAGCCGAUGCUCUGGAGCAGGAGUGAAGAACAGCUCUUUCAAGAGGUUACACAUUCUGCUUAUGAUGUUGUGAGCGAGAAUGAGAUCACCAUGGCGGUGGCGUUUUUCUAGAGAAUAAAGGAAGUAGUUAAGAUGAAAGUCUAAGUGAGUAGAAAGUUCAGUCAGGCAGAAUCAAACUGGGGUAACCAUGUCAACAUAUAAUAUAUAGUUCAAAUUUAUAGAAAAUAAAAGGUGAAAACUGGUGUAGGAACAACAAGCUGGUGUAAUAGUUUAAUGCUUGGUAAGAAUGGAAAGGUUUUUUAUGUUUCAAGCCUACAUUCUUUGACAGAAAAGUUAAGAGGAAAAAAAUAUAUGUAUAUAUAUAUAUAUAUAUAUAUAUAUCCAAAACUAGGGAAUGGAGUAGAUAAAAUCCAGGCUACAUAUGUUUUAUAGCUUGUAGAACUUCAGAAGUAAUAAUUAUCCAAAUGAGGAGUAAUCUGCUAGCUACUCGUUAGGCCAAAGAUACUUUAAUCAAAAGAAGUUUACAAUAGGCGCAGGAGUGGCUGUGUGGUAAGUAGCUUGCUUACCAACCACAUGGUUCCAGGUUCAGUCCCACUGCGUGGCAUCUUGGGCAAGUGCCUUCUGUUAUAGCCUCAGGCCGACCAAUGCCUUGUGAGUGGAUUUGGUAGACGGAAACUGAAAGAAGCCUGUCAUAUAUAUAUAUAUAUAUGUGUGUUUGUCCUCCUAGCAUUGCUUGACAACCGAUGCUGGUUUGUUUACGUCUCCGUCACUUAGCGGCAAAAGAGACCGAUAGAAUAAGUACUGGGCUUACAAAGAAUAAGUCCCGGGGUCCAUUUGAUCGACUAAAGGUGGUGCUCCAGCAUGGCCACAGUCAAAUGACUGAAACAAGUAAAAGAGUAAUGUUGCAGGAGAUUCAAUUGAAAAUGUGUAGAAAGCAUAGAAACAGAGAAGAAAAGCAUAUUAGUGAAGAAGUAAUGUAUGGGAAUGAGUAAAUGUCUAAACUUUCAAAGGAAAAGAAUAAUUAUAUGAACAGGGAAAGGAAAGGGGGAUGAGUAGGGGGAAAUUUAGUAUUAUUGAAGCUAGCAAGGGGAAUGUCUUUGUGAAUUCAAGCUGAGGUCAUUUACAGGUCUACUGUAGAAUAAAUAAGUAAAUAUAUUGUGGCACACUGAAAAUACAUUUAAACAGAAUCAAAGAGAAAGAAGAUGUAGUGUCAAAUUAAGAAAUUGUUAGGAGGGGGAAGGAGAGGGAGGUGGGAGAUAAUGAGGGACAUAGUAGUUCUAGGUAAGUUGUUUGUUUAUAGCUUAAUUUUAAAACUAUAUAAGUGUGUAUUAGUGCACCCGCACAUUUUUUGUGUGCCUGUAGAAUCUAAUAGGUGUGUGUGUGAGCAUGGGCAUUUGUAUAUUCUCAGGUACAGUAGGAAGGUGUAGGGAGGUAAAAAUGUUAGGAAAAUACAAGGUGUAAACAGAUAAAAAAAUAUAAGAUAAAAUAAUGUAAAAAUUAUAAAGGUAGCCAAAAAAACUGUUCGUUAUAAAAUGUGGAAGAUCUGCAAAUUGGGUGCAGAGGAAUAGUUACCAGUCCUAGCUGUGUCAGUGAAGUGAAUGGAAGGGUUAGUGGCAAAAUUUUUAUUUAUGGUCCUCUAAGUAAAGAUGGCAUGGGUGAGGUAGGAGAGGUUCAGUUCUAUCUUCUAAACCAAGUUUAAAAAUGAGAUCACAAUUCUUGAUGUUGAUAUCUCUCAGGGCAGAGUCCGGUACAAUAAGGUGGUCCUUGUGCAGUUGUUUGAGUAUUAGUUCCAGAUGUGUAUAGUGGUAUGGCUACCAAGUUUCUCUUAUGUUAUAUGUUAUAGCGUAUAUUUUCUAGUUAGUUUGUUUACAGUUAAUGCAAUGCUACUUAUUAUGUUUCCUAUUUGGAAAUAUGAGAGAUGUUCAAUAAGUAAUGCCCCUGACCCACUUGCAGUUGUUUGAUCUAGCUGAAAUUUUGCAUGUGCAAUUAUUUAUAUCUCUAUAGAUUAAGUGACAAAUUACAGCUCUGAUUUACAGGUGUUUGAACUGAGUCAAGUGUGAAAUGGAGCCUGUUGAGUGUCGAGCAGUGAUCCGGUUUUUGUAUUUGAAAGGACACACACCACGGGAGACUUUUGAUGAAAUGAAAGUAACUUAUGGUGAUGAUGCCCCAUCAUAUGACCUUGUAAAACGCUGGCAUCGUGAAUUCAAACUUGGUCAGAACUCUGUGGAAACAAAUACAAAUCUGAGAGACACAAAAGUGAACGCUGUCAACGUCAUUGAUACUGAAACCACAAUUGUUGACAGCCCUGUCAUCACCACCACUACUAAGACUACCACUGCUACCACCACCACUAAGACUACCACUGCUACCACCAACAACAGCAACAACAAAAGAAGUAUGAAAAGACUCCUACCAUCACCACAAAACAAAAUGGUUCUUCCACCAGCACCAACACAGUAGCCAAAACGUCUAGAAGUAUUCCUAGGAAUGUCUCGUCCUUUACUUUUAGUGGAGGAUUAAAAUGCUACUUUGGACAUGCAUCUAGACUAUGUGGGAACAGAUAGGAAUAGACAGGAAUGCAAAUGCCUCAAAAACCUGCUCAGACGCUUUCAACUGUCUGACAGGCACCAACGUGGACAUGGAGCAACUGCAUUGGGUCAUUGAGAUCGCAUCUAGAUAGAAUACUGUGUAGGACAGUAGAUAGAGAUAGCGUAGGGUAUUCACAACUUCACAUAGUCUGCUACACAGAUCACAAACUUGUGACGUGUACGCUAAGCUUAGAUAAGGCACAUAGGCAGGGUCCUGGUUACUGGAAACUGAAUGUGUCUUUCCUGUCAACACAGGUUUACAGAGACUGGAUUAGCACGCUAGUGAAGAUGGUUUUGACGGGAACCAUCAUCAACAACAAAUAGUGGUUUGCCCUCAAGCAAUAAAAGCUGAAUCAAUUAGGUAUAGCAAAGCACUAACAAUAGAUAGAAACAAAAUAGAGGGAGACCUAGUUAAGAAACUAGAAGAGGCUAUUAGAAGUGGCAUUGCAUCUGACAUAUUGGCGGUGAGGUUGGCCCUUGACCAACACUUCAACACCAAACACAAGGGGUGCAUUGUCAGGGCUAGGAUAUGUGCUUUAAGAAACGAAGGUGUUGGAGCCACACAGGAGGCCCAGGUGGCGGAGGCACAACAGAGCAACAAAGUCACCAUUCAGUCUCUGAUGGAUGAACAGGGGUGUGAAUUACUUGAGCCUAGUAAAAUGUGAGACCUUUCAGCAGCACUUUGCCUGACUGUUCGGGACAAGUGAUGAGCAAGAAUGCAGGGUGGACUUUAGUAGCUACCUGCAUAGCCUGCCAUGACUCAGCAAGAGAGGCAGAGUGUUGCGAAGGUGCCAUCACAGCAGCGGACAUGCGGGACAUGAUGGCAGAGUGCUUGAGGGACACAUAGCUGGGUUUAGAUGGUCUCCCCUACGAGCUUUACAGUUGUAUGCCAGACUUGUUUGAAGGCAUCUUGGAAGCAGUGUACUGCAACUGACAACAAAACAGGAGCAUCCCCAGUUUUGUGAGCAGAGGAUCCAUAAUACUGCUGAAGAAAGAUCCAAACAAGGGGGCUGUAAUAGAUAACUUCAGGCCCAUCACUCUGCUCAAGGCAGAUUUGAACAUUUUGGCCAAGGUAUUAGCCAAGAGGUUGGUGCUUGUCAUCAAGAAACUGGUCGACAAACAUGUGCCAUGCCGGGCUGAAGCAUCCAUGACAAUCUCCACCUCAUGCACUACAUCAUAGACAGGGUAGUUAAGGAACCUGGCAUGGGUGGGGCACUGAUCAAUUUGGAUCAAUCCAAAGUGAGGUCAGUUUUGGCAAGGUUUUUACAGCUGGUAAGGUUUUACAGCUUCCAAACACCAACCACUUUACAGUGUGGACUGGGUGCUUUUUGAAGUAGCACCUGCACUGACAAGGUCACCAAGUACUUGCAAGACAUAAAAAUAACUUUCAAGAGAGGAGGAGGCACUGGAAGAGGUAAUGAUUAAAAGGUUAUAGUGAGACAGAUACAGGUGUCAUGCUGUAGAGGAAGUACAAAGUUACCCAGCUGGAGAGGGAAAGAUCAGGAAUGAAGACAGAAACAGGUGUGCUACUGCAAAGACAAUACACAGUUGCCCAACCUGAGGGAAGCGCAGGAAAAGGAGACAGUGGGAUAUGGUGGGAUAGAGAUGGUGGCAAAAUGCUGGGCAUACUAAUAAGCAAUGGGUAUCAGAAUAUAAAUGUGAUGGUUGAGUAAAGGAAGAGAGUGAUAUAGAAGGUGGAAAGUGCCAGGUUCAAAUGUCAUAGUAUAAGUGGCAGAAUAUUGUGAAGGGAGUGUGAUUAAAGAGUGUAAGUAAGUGGCGAAAGACCUGGGUAUAUAUAGAGUUGGAGGGGCUACCUGAUAGCAAUGAUACAGAGGAACAGGGGUGUGAGGACAGGAUUGUGGAGUGAGAGCUAGGCAUAGUGUAUGAAGGAGGAAAUGUGAGAAAGAGAUGUAGAUUGGUUUUUUGGGGUAGGGUGAGGGAAAACUUUUCUUAUUACGUGUAGGUGGAACACCCAGGUCGAGGGCUAGCAGAUAGUAAUAAUAGAAUGAGACAAGGCAUGUGGGUAGAACGCGCAGGUUGGGGGGAGGGGCAAGUGAAGAGCAAUGAUACAGUGGCACAGGGCCAAGAGGACAGGAUUGGGGAGUGGGAGGUAAUCACAGUACAUGAAGCAGAAAUGUGCGGAAGAGAUGUAGAGACAUAGUUUGGUUUGUUGUGGUAGAGUAUGUGAGAAGUUUUCUUGUUAAGUGUGGGUGGACAUACAGCACUUAUCUCUGUAUAUAUUAUAAUUCUGCUUGUUCAUUUGUUCACACAUUAACAUUAAGAUUGUUAGAGAGAUGAAGACAUGGAGUGAGAGAGAGGGGGGAUAGAGAGUGAGAGAGAUGGAGGAGGAAUGAGUGAGAUGGUAGAUAGCCAACUGAUGCAUUACAAGGUCAUUCACAUGGUUAGUAGAAGUGAGAGGUGAAGAAAAAAAUAAGAUAGAAAUGUUAACCAUGUCAAGAGGGGAAUUACAUAUUUAAAAAGUUUAUUGAAGAGGUAGAGAGAAAGAAAAAAAUAUAGUGUUUAUAUAUAUAUAUAUAUAUAUAUAUACACACACAGAGCAGGGGGUGCUGAAAAGUUCCUGGUUUUAAGGGUAUUGCAAAAGGCCUGACAGGAAGCUCAACCUUGUGAGAUCUUUUUACCGGGCUUAGAAAAAUUGAAGGACUGCUGCAAUAAGUGUGUGAAUCUGAGAGGGGAAUAUGUUCAAUAAAAUCAUAAUUAACUGAUCCUCCCCUAUUUUCUUUUACCCAGGAACUUUCAAGGCAAAAAAUUAAUUCAAACAUCAACAAUCUUGAAUGGAAAAAUCUAAUUGAACUUCAAAAAGACAAUUAAAGAAGUAGGCAAAGGAAAUGCUAUAGUCCUGAUGGACACAAAAUACUACGAAAAUCUAGUAUUAUCCAUGCUAGAAGCCCCUGUUCUUGCAAACCUAAUAAUGGGAUAUUUUGAAUUCACCAUAUGUGAAGUGUUACUGCAAAAAUAUGGAUAUCCAUUUCACCAUUAUAAAAGAGAGAACUGGAAAAGAUACUUGGAUGACUGCUUUAUCAUUUGGAAGGAGACCAUUGAUAAACUUUUGGAAUUUAAAUCAAUAGUAAAUAAUAGAAACUCUAACAUUCAAUUUACAAUGGAAUGUAGCAAAGAACAGCUCCUUUUCUUGGAUAUUAUGAUAAAAAAAGUCAACAACCAUAUUAUAACUGACAUUUAUCAUAAACCAAUGGACUCAAAGCAAUAUUUUCUGUUUGGCUCAUGCUACCUGAAACACAUCAAAAGAAAUAUCCCCUUUAAUUUAGCAAAAUGAAUUUGCACAAUAGUGUCUGAUAGAAAUACUUGGGACCUUCAUUUUCAAGACCUCAGAACAACACUAACUGAAAGACAAUAUCCACCCUUGCUUAUAGAUGAUGGAAUUAAGCAUGCUAAGAAAUUAGACAUUAAAACACUAAGGGCAACAAAGCAUAACACCACACCUCAUCUCAAAACACUACUGUAUAUAUCAACUCACAACCCUAGAAACAAUGACGUAUACAACACUAUUCUACAAAAUCUACCUAUGCUCACUAGGGAUCCAAAAAUGAACAACAUUCUGAAAAUACUUGCAUUCAUCAAAUGCAAAAAGCAACACAAAUCCCUGAAAAGAUUUUGUGGACAUAACUAUAUGGGACAGACAAUUAUGACACUGAGAUGAAGAGCCACACUACAUAAGGAACAGAUCUGGUUCCUACAAUACAGAUAGAUUCAUUUAGCAAAUACAUAGAAAGAUGUGCAGAUAAUAUCCAACUAAACUUCACAGUUUUCCCUGUCUACCAGUGCAAAUAAACAAUAUCUAUACAAGAAUGUUUAAAUAAAGAAUAUUUGUUUAUUGAAAAGUACAGAAUAUAUCUAAAUAUGAACACAUAACAAACUUUGAUCUCAGUAUAUAUUUUAAUUCAUGAUUACAUACCUGUCACUGUACAUAUUUCAUCUCAUUACUUUAGCUUUUGAGUUUUUGUGUAUAUAUAUUUAUUUAUCCCCUCCCUGAAAGAUGAGCAAUUACCUCCUCUGUCCCCAAUAAUAAUGAUCACCAAUUACUUCCCCUUAGGUUUUUCUACUUGUUGAAUCAUUCAUUCACAAACUUCUCACACAAUAUGAACUAAAAUCUUCUUAAGAAAAUACGAAAUUACAAUAUCUUCAAUGUCAUGAUUAGCAAAAGCAAAACUGAUCGACAAACGCAAUAUUGAAUGUAUUAAAAAAUAUAUUAAAACUA
rnacentral:lncRNA from 1 species